rnacentral:rRNA from 1 species
UACGAAGGGGGCUAGCGUUGUUCGGAUUUACUGGGCGUAAAGCGCACGUAGGCGGAUUGUUAAGUCGGGGGUGAAAUCCUGGAGCUCAACUUCAGAAUUGCCUUCGAUACUGGCUUUCUAGAGGCUGGAAGAGGUUAGUGGAAUUCCCAGUGUAGAGGUGAAAUUCGUAGACAUUGGGAAGAACACCAGUGGCGAAGGCGGCUAACUGGUCCAGAUCUGACGCUGAGGUGCGAAAGCGUGGGGAGCAAACAGG